UACGUAGGAGACGAGCGUUGUCCGGAGUUACUGGGCGUAAAGGGUGCGCAGGCGGCCUUGCGCGUCGCGAGUGAAAUCUCCCGGCUCAACUGGGAGGGUGGUCGCGAGACGGCAGGGCUUGAGGCUCGGUGAGGAUCGCGGAAUUCCCGGUGUAGAGGUGAAAUUCGUAGAUAGUCGGGAGGAACACCAGUGGCGAAGGCGGCGAUCUGGGAAGAUACUGACGCUGAGGUGCGAAAGCGUGGGGAGCAAACAGG
rnacentral:rRNA from 1 species